CUCCCUUUGUUUGGGUGAACCGCUGGGAUUCGGGCUCAUUUGUUUUCGCAGCGUAUCUUGACUACCUCACUCUUCCUUUGGAACCUGAGCUGUUUGGCAAAUGGGGGGGAAUGAAGAACCUUCAGUUAGGAUUGUGGCAAUUAUCUUCAGGAAACGAGUUGGCUUUAGAUAAGAGCUGUAUGGCAUUCUAUCCGGGGUCGAUGCAGUGUCGUCGAUUUAACCAGCGCCCUAUUCAUGGCCACUUCAGUCGUGUCCAGGUUUUGCCGUCACAAAUAGUGCUGCAGUGAAGAGACACAUUCCUAUGGCAUUGCAUUUCCCCAUCUGCGUGUCUGUGCCGUGCAAUCCUAGACGUGGGGUUGCUGGGUCAGAGGGCGAGUUUGCUAGGUAUUGCCAGGUGCUCAUCCACGGUGCUUGUCCGUCUCUGCGUUUCACCAGCAGCGUGUGAGAACCCCUCUCUCCUCACAGCAUUGCCAUUGGCACAUUGUCGAACAUUUGGAUUUUUGCUCAUCAGGUCGGGAGGUCAGGCUGAUGGCACAGAAAGGGGUCUGUGUCUUAGGAAGCAGGCCUGGAAUACUGUAGGGCCUGCCUACAUGUUAAACGCAACUUUUAGGCUUUGUGUCCCACCUCGGUGCUGUUGAAUCCUGUUGCAAUUUGAGCUCCCUGGAAGCAGACGCUGAGCUGCAGUUUGAAGUGCAGGACAUUUGUUAGCGCUUCACGCCAGUGGAAGGAGGAGGGGAGAGCCAGAGUUGGGCAGAUGGAGAAUUUGAACUGUGAUGCAGGCCCCACAUCGGCCUCGGUCGACCCCACAGGAGACUCUGAGUGUGGAUAGCUUAACAGAGCUGUCCCGUUUGGCUUAAAUUCCCGGGCUUCAUAUCCCCGACUCCAUCGGUCACUGAUGGGGCCAUCCCCGGAAGGGCCUGGAUUUGAGCGGGGCAGCUCUCUGCACCUGAGGCUGACGCCGAGAGAGCUGACAGCAGGAAGUUGUCUGCUGACAGCCCCCAGCAGCUGGAGCGAGGAAGUAAGUCACUGCAGAUCACACAGGGUGUAUACAAUGGAAUAUUACUCGGCCAUAAGAAAAGAUGAAAUAUUCCCAUUUGUGACAACAUGGAUGGAUCUGGAGAUUAUCAUGCUACGUGAAAUAAGUCAGAGAAAGUUGAGAACCAUAUGAUUUCACUCACGUGGGAUAUAAAACUGGAAACCACAAACAAACAUGACUAACAGAGACUCAGGGACACGGACAGUGGAUCAGUGGUCACCAGAGGGAAGCGGGGACAGGGAGGUCGAUGGGGUAAAGACGGUCAAAUAUUUGAUGACGGAAGGAACGUUAACUUGGGUGUUGAACACACAAUGCAGUGUUCGUGUGACGUAUUAUUGAAUUGUACACUUGAAACCCAUUUAAUUGUAUUAACCAAUGUCACCCAAUAAUUUUAAUUAAAAAAAAGCACGCGGGGUAGAGCUGACUUUCAACACGUGCUCAAUCCCAAAUCCCUGCUCUGUGCCGUCACCUCGCGUUUUAUCUCGCAGACUGGGACGUGCGCGAUUUCGGGUCCGGUUCCGCUGGUUCCGCGUUGCUAGUGUUUCUCCCGCCCUGCGUGGGAAACACCGAACCGCAGCAACGACACCGCUGUCAGCCAAACGCUCCAGCGAUAACUGCUCUGAGCGAGUGCUGCCUUGUUCGCUGUUCAUCUCAAACUUCUGUGUCCAGUGCAAACCCCACCCCGAAUUCUGGGCUCAUCUUUCCAGCAUCUGCUCCUGGCUGUCUAAGCGACUCGCAAGCGACUUGCGUCUGAAGCUGAGCAUCUGAUCUGCCUCCCAAACCUGCACGCCCUGCAGGCUGCCCGUCCCAGGUAACGCAGCUCCGUCGGCCCUGCCGCUCAGGCCGCAGCCCUUGGAGGCGUCUUCCACGGGCUCCCCUCUUCCUUCCAUACGUCACACCUGAUCCGUCAGCAGAUGCCACUGACAUAUCCCCAAUGCAGAAACCCCGGACGGAGACACACGCACCUCCUCCCUGAGCUCUUGCAGUUGCUCCGUAGCCAGAACCGGGCUGUGUGUUUCCACUUUGGUCCUGCUAAGUUAUUCUCCUGUUGAAAUGCAAACCAGAUCAUGUCCCUUCUCUGCUGCUACCACCGGUGGCUUCGCCAAGUCCAAAGUCCCUUCAGAGGGCCCGGCAAGAUCACCCCCUCCCACCCCCACUACCCGUUAACUCUGACUUCAUCUAUUCUCUCCCUCCUUGCUCACUCCGCUCUAUCUGGAAUUUUCUUCCUCCAGGAUCCCUGAGGCUCCCUCUCUUGCAUCCCUCAGGCCUCUGCUCAAAAGUCGCCUCGUCAGAGAGGGCGCUCCUGGCUCCGCCUCUAAACUCGCAGCUCCCGUCUGGGUCCGCCAUGUCCUCUUGGCGUGUAUUUCUCCACUGUGUUCAUCACCACCCAAUAAAUUUACUUAUUUCUUUCGUCUAUUAUCUGUCUCUCCACCAGAGUGUGCAAGAUGCACAAGGACAGGGAAUUCUGUCCCUUUUGUUCUUGCCGAAUCCCCAGUGUUAGAACGGUACCCAGCACAUAGUAGGUGCUCAAUAAAUAUUUUUAGAUGAAUGCUGGCAGGAGUUUGAUGUAGCACUUACUUCUACACGAGAAUAAAUUUGUUCCUUUUUUAAUUUUAAUUACACUAGUGGUAUAUGGAAGUGUUCUCAGGAGACAUUAAAAUAUUAGAGGAACACAAAGUCCCUCUUGAUGUAUGUGGUAGACAUUUUACAUUUUUCAUCUACCCAGAAGCCAAACGUUUCUUCUGUUUUGGAAACUCCUUAGUUCUGUGGGUUUGGUGGGAGAGGCGAAUCAGCAGCUCCCAUUGAAGAGACUGUAUUAGUUUCCUGUUGCUGCUGUAACAAAUUGCUGCAGGACGUGUUUCCAUAGUGUAGUGGUUAGCACGUCUGCUUUACACGCAGAAGGUCCUGGGUUUGCGCCCCAGUGGAGCCACGGUCUAUGGCCAUGCCACCCUGAACAAGCUCGAUCCCGUCUGACCUCGGAAGCUGCGCAGGGUCCAGCCUGGUUGGAAGUACUUGGAUGGAAGACCAGGUGCUGUAGGCAGAAAUAGUAAUAAUCAAAAAA